GACGAACGCUGGCGGCGUGCUUAACACAUGCAAGUCGAACGGAAAGGCCCUGCUUUUGUUGUGUGCUCGAGUGGCGAACUGGUGAGUAACACGUGAGUAACCUGCCCUUGACUUUGGGAUAACUUCAGGAAACUGGGGCUAAUACCGGAUAGGCGCUCCUUCUGCCUGGUGGGGGUUGGAAAGUUUCGGUGGUAGGGGAUUGACUCGCGGGUUAUCAUCUUGUUGGGGGGGUAGUGGUUUACCAAGGCUUUGACGGGUAGCAGGCCUGAGAGGGUGACCGGCGACAUUGGGACUGAGAGACGGACCAGACUAGAACGGGAGGCAGAAGUGGGGAAUAUGGCGGAAUGGGGGGGAGUGGGAGGCAGAGGCGCAGAGGGCGGGAUGACGGCCUGCGGAUGAAAAAUAGGGGUCGCCUGGGACGAAGAGUGAGUGACGGUAAUGGGUAAAGAAGCACCGGCUAACUACGUG
rnacentral:rRNA from 1 species